rnacentral:lncRNA from 1 species
UCUCUUGACUUUGUGCGGUUUGAGCAUGCAGCAAGGACGCUUCCCCGUGCCAGUGCCCCCACGUGGACUUCUAGACUCUGCGGCUGUAAAUCACCAUACAGUCUACUCAGCUGUCACAGCAUACACGGAGCAGAGGAUAAAAGCCACCUCGAAACCUGGUGCUUCUCUAUCACAGAAGCUGUGAUAAUGUAUUAAGGACAUUUCUAAGAGAUGAUGUUAGAAAUUCCAAACUGUGGCAGAAGGCCCAGCCAUCCCUGUUCUUUCCUUUUAGAACAGAGUGCAUGAGUAGUUACAGAAAUGAAUGGAAUGGACUUUACAUCUGGAGCUAAAAAGGCAGGGGUCCACGGUGGGUGAGCAUUCCCUACCUUCAACACAGAUGCUAUCACAAAGAUGGAUUCACAGUCAAGGUGGACUUCAAUUCCAGAAUUUAGUUUCUCCUUUAGCUCUCUGCAAGAUUUCAUGUUGGCCGACUGCCUGAAGAUGCCUUUUGUGAGGGGGCCUUUUUGGUUAAGGAAGGAAAGCAUAUCCUGCGAGGAAGCAGAGGAAGUAAACUAAGGUGAUGCUCUACACACAUGAGCACAGGAGCAGGUUCUGGCCUUCCGAGGCUGUCAGAAGGCCAGGGUGUAUACACGGAAGGACCGGAGCUGGACGGAUGGCUAGAAGGAUUCAAAAAAUGAAAAAAGCCAGAAAUUUCCAAAAAGGCACUCUCCACGAAAGCCUAUAAAGCAAACACUGAGAAACUAAGUGAGGCGUGGCUGCUGCAGAGAAGGUGGCUCAAGUGAUCCGGAGCGGGGGCUUUAACUACUCUCUUCCUCCGUCAUUUACCCUGAGCAUCAAGGAUGCAAGCACCAUCUUCAUUUCCAAUAGAAAACAAGAGAAUGCAAGUCAGUGAACAGAGCAGACAAAACCCCAAGUAAUUACUGUAAUGAAAGAAAAACGAAGAAAACCGUGAGUUUAAAGGUAGAAGAGUCAGAAUAUCAUUUCCCUUGGCUUGGUUAAAUUCUUACGGGAAUUUUUCAUUCAUCUACUUAAAGGCCCAUUAACUUGUUCAUUCAUCCAGUAAGUAUUUACUGAAUACUUAGAUUCUUCAGACUAGCAUCUGGCCUUCUCAUUUUAGGGGAUAAAAUAAGGGUCUUUCCAAAGCAGCACCUCAAAAUAACUCAAAAGAUGUGCCCAAUCAGCCUUGGAACCCCAAACUCAAUUUACCGUCAUAGGAGAGAGAACGAGGGCUGGUACAGAUUUAGUACAUUUGCACAGCUGAUGUCUGCUCUGACUGCGGUGAGGUGUAACAUCUAGGGCCAGGCCAUCAGGCACUGGCAGGGUUGGCCUGUGUUUGGAGGUAUGCAUGAAACAGGUGAUUCAGGUUGCCCAGUCAGGAUGAAUGUCUGUCUGGGGUUGGUCAUUAGUGACGAUGCCAAGCUGCCCUUCUGCUGUAAGGUUUCUUUAAAGUGCUCAGCAGUCAUCUAGAGACGGGACUGUCCUAGGCAUGCAGUGAAGUGAGUGGGGAGGAAAGAGAGCUCAAGUUGUCUGCGAUAGACAUUGUGGUAACUGAAAGGUUCAGGCCAUGUAUGGAUACAGAAGCAGGUAAGCACAUGCGGGAGAUGUGGUGAGAAAGCGGGAGACUGGGUAGGUGAGGGAAAGGAAUACGGAGUAGAACUGGGAGGUGAGAGGAAAUAUGGGCUUGCAGAUGGGAUAAGCGUAAGGAGCAAAAGCUUUUGCAACAACAACAGCUACACACUUUUUUUUUAGCCCAAUAAAACAUCAGAACU